rnacentral:rRNA from 1 species
AUGUGCUUCGAGUUCAGCUCCUGUUUCGGCGGCGGCAUAAAGGACGACUACGGCGGCGAGCGGUCCAACCAUGGCGGCUGUGGCGGUCGUCGCCGCGGCCGUGGCCGCAGGAACGACGCCUCCUACAACGGCGAAGCCGACCACAAGCCGGCGCCGGCCUACAACCACCAGCCGGCCAUCGACGAGGCUGGUCGCAAGGCCCACCAUGAUGGCGGGCGGAAAGCUGACCACGCCUCCGUGGUCGCCGGCGCCGGUGGCCACGGCUAUUACGCCGCCUACGCGCCAGACAAGGCCCACGAGGCGCCGAAGCUUCCUGCGUGGCACAACAAGGUCGGGGACGACGCCGGCUAUGCCUACAACACGGCGCGCCUCCGCCACCAGGCUGCUCCUGUUCAUAGGGAGCACGCCGCCAUGGAUUACCACCACUACCCAACCACUACUACCAAUCUCGUAAGGUACUAG